rnacentral:rRNA from 1 species
AUUGAACGCUGGCGGCAGGCCUAACACAUGCAAGUCGAACGAGUGGCGGACGGGUGAGUAAUGUCUGGGAAACUGCCCGAUGGAGGGGGAUAACUACUGGAAACGGUAGCUAAUACCGCAUACCAUCGGAUGUGCCCAGAUGGGAUUAGCUCGUAGGUGGGGUAACGGCUCACCUAGGCGAAGAUCCCUAGCUGGUCUGAGAGGAUGACCAGCAACACUGGAACGGAGACACGGUCCAGAAUCCGACGGUAGGCAGUAGGGGGUAACAUGGCACAAGGGGCGCAAGCCUGAUGCAGCCAUUCCGCGUGUAUGAAGAAGGCCUUCGGGGUGUAAAGUACGUUCAGCGAGGAGGCGUUACUCGCAGAAGAAGCACCGGCUAACUCCGUGCAAGCAGCCGCGGUAAUAC